GAUGAACGCUGGCGGCGUGCCUAACACAUGCAAGUCGAGCGAGAAAUAAUUGAAGCAAAUCUUCGGAAGAGUGAGGUUAUGGAAAGCGGCGGACGGGUGAGUAACGCGUAGGCAACCUGCCCCAUACAGAGGGAUAGCCUCGGGAAACCGGGAUUAAAACCUCAUAAAGCGACUGCUUCACAUGAAGCGGACGCCAAAGAUUUAUCGGUAUGGGAUGGGCCUGCGUCUGAUUAGCUAGUUGGUGAGGUAACGGCUCACCAAGGCAACGAUCAGUAGCCGACCUGAGAGGGUAAACGGCCACAUUGGAACUGAGACACGGUCCAAACUCCUACGGGAGGCAGCAGUGGGGAAUAUUGCACAAUGGGCGAAAGCCUGAUGCAGCAACGCCGCGUGAGCGAUGAAGGCUUUCGGGUCGUAAAGCUCUGUCCUUGGGGAAGAAAAAAAUGACGGUACCCUUGGAGGAAGCCCCGGCUAACUACGUGCCAGCAGCCGCGGUAAUAC
rnacentral:rRNA from 1 species